rnacentral:rRNA from 1 species
AUACGUAGGUGACAAGCGUUAUCCGGAUUUACUGGGCGUAAAGGGCGUGUAGGCGGUCUUGCAAGUCAGAAGUGAAAUUCCUGAGCUCAACUCGGGCGCUGCUUCUGAAACUGCAGGACUUGAGUGCUGGAGGGGAUAGCGGAAUUCCCAGGGUAGCGGUGAAAUGAGUAGAGAUUGGGAAGAACACCAGUGGCGAAGGCGGCUUACUGGGCUGUAACUGACGCUGAGGCGCGAAAGCGUGGGGAGCGAACAGGAUUAGAUACCCUGGUAGUCCACGCUGUAAACGAUGAAUGCUAGGUGUAGGGGGUAUCGACCCCUCCUGUGCCGGAGUAAACGCAAUAAGCAUUCCGCCUGGGGAGUACGGCCGCAAGGUUGAAACUCAAAUGAAUUGGCGGGG